CCCUGGGUGCCCAGAGUCCUAGCUUGAUGCCUCCCUGCCCUUUUUUCUCACAGUCUGAGCUCUGAGCAGAUCUUCCGAAUGUGCUUCUCCAAAAAGGAAGGAGCCGGGACAUCGCUGAGGCUAUGUGAAUGCAGCUUCAGCCCAGAACAAGUAUCCAAAUUGGCUUCCAGCCUGAGCCAGGCCCAACAGCUCACAGAGCUCUGGCUGACCAAGUGUCACUUGGACCUGCCACAGCUGACCAUGCUCCUGAACCUGGUGAAUCGGCCAACAGGGUUGCUGGGCCUCAGGUACCUG
rnacentral:lncRNA from 1 species